AGAACGAACGCUGGCGGCAGGCUUAACGCAUGCAAGUCGAACGCCCCGCAAGGGGAGUGGCAGACGGGUGAGUAACACGUGGGAACAUGCCCAAAGGUACGGAACAACUCCGGGAAACUGGAGCUAAUACCGUAUGUGUCCGUAAGGAGAAAGAUUUAUCGCCUUUGGAUUGGCCCGCGUCGGAUUAGCUAGUUGGUGGGGUAAAAGCCUACCAAGGCGACGAUCCGUAGCUGGUUUGAGAGAACGACCAGCCACACUGGGACUGAGACACGGCCCAGACUCCUACGGGAGGCAGCAGUGGGGAAUAUUGGACAAUGGGCGCAAGCCUGAUCCAGCCAUGCCGCGUGGAUGAUGAAGGCCUUAGGGUUGUAAAGUCCUUUCGGCGGGGAAGAUAAUGACGGUACCCGCAGAAGAAGCCCGGCUAACUUCGUGCCAGCAGCCGC
rnacentral:rRNA from 1 species